rnacentral:rRNA from 1 species
CCUACGGGUGGCAGCAGUGAGGAAUAUUGGUCAAUGGACGAGAGUCUGAACCAGCCAAGUAGCGUGAAGGAUGACUGCCCUAUGGGUUGUAAACUUCUUUUAUAGGGGAAUAAAAUGGGCCACGUGUGGGAUUUUGUAUGUAACAUAUGAAUAAGGAUCGGCUAACUCCGGGCCAGCAGCAGCGGUAAUACGGAGGAUCCGAGCGUUAUGCGGAUUGAUUGGGUGUAAAGGGAGCGUAGGGGGAUUGUUAAGUCAGUUGUUAAAGUUUUCUGCUCAACCGUAAAAUUGCAGUUGAAACUGACAGUCUUGUGUACAGUAGAGGUUGGCGGAUUUCGUGGUGUAGCCGUUAACUUCUUAGAUAUCACGCAGAACUCCGAUUGCGAAGGCAGUUCACUGGACUGCACCUGACACUGAGGCUCGAACGUGUGGGUAUCACACCGGAUUCGCUACCCGAGUAGUC